rnacentral:rRNA from 1 species
CCUACGGGUGGCAGCAGUGGGGAAUAUUGCACAAUGGGGGAAACCCUGAUGCAGCGACGCCGCGUGAGUGAAGAAGUCUUUCGGUAUGUAAAGCUCUAUCAGCAGGGAAGAAAAUGACGGUACCUGAUUAAGAAGCACCGGCUAACUAAGUGCCAGCAGCCGCGGUAAUACGUAGGGGGCAAGCGUUAUCCGGAUUUACUGGGGUGAAAGGGGGCGUAGACGGCGGCGCAUGUCUGGAGUGAAAUGCCGAGGCUUAACCCCGGAACUGCUGUGGAAACUGUGCAGCUAGAGUGCGGGAGAGGUAAGUGGAAUUCGUAGUGUAGCGGUGAAAUGCAUAGAUAUUAGGAGGAACACCAGUGGCGAAGGCGGCUUACUGGAGUGUAACUGACGUUGAGGCUCGAAAGCGUGGGGAGCAAACAGGAUUAGAUACCCCAGUAGUC